CCUGCCUGGUCGGCUCUGCGGUUCCUGCUCUGCGUUGACCGGUGCCCUGCGGCCGGGGUUCAACGCGCCUGGCCCAGCUCAGCUCACUGACAGACGCAGGGAGGAGUGUCUCCAAGCGACUGUCCUGGGCCGCUCUCUUUCCUCGCGGAACCUGGGCUGCCGGGGGCGGAGGCGUGGCCCUGCGCGCCGCAGCCCAUCUCGGUGCCGGUCAUAACUCGGAGUCCGCAGAUCGCUGACGGCUACGAGCCGACAACCACCAGGACCUCGAGGUGCUGAGGACCUGUAUUGGGCAGGGCCCUUAUAUGUGUGACUGAUCGGGGCUUAAAUGGUGAGCCCUAGGCUUCCUGUUAAGUUCCACUCACUUCACAGGUCAUCCUGACUCUUGAAUCUUCAUCUUAACACCUGCCGUCUUUGAGUCUCCUGCGGCUAUUAAUAGCCAACUUCUUGAGCACCCAAGUGACUGCUGGAGGCCGAGAAGCAAGAAACUCCAGGAAAAAAAAAAAAAGAUGACAGAAAGAACACACAAACUCAUAAAGCUUACAAAUUAGUUUAACAUGAAAAACACCAGUCAGAUCCAACUGACACAAGGCACUCAGCCUGACUCUGCAUGGUGGACAGGGGACAGAACAGAGCUCUGGGGUCAGAGAACUCAGAGUUUCAAAUCACUGUCCCUUUCUGAGCCUCAGUUUACUUAUUUGAAAAGCAAUAAUAAUAAAAUCUAACUCCCAAAA